UUUCUUCUUUCUCUCUCAUCCUUUCUCUCGUUCUCUCUCUUCCUUUCUCUCUUUCUCUCUCACGAGUUUCAUUCUUCUAUUUUCUCUUCUUCCUCCUCUUCUUCCUCUUCUUUUUUAUAAACCGAUACUCUCUGUAACUCUUUGCUAACAAAGCCCUAAUUAAAGUCGAUUAUGCACGGAAUUAGGGUUUUGAAAAUCCUAUUAAAAUGAAGAUGCACAAAAUUAGGGUUUCAAAAAAUUAUGAACUGUUUUAGUUUUUGCAUAUCAGUAGCAAUCCAGACUUACACGAGGAACAUAUUGAUUGUUGUGAACCCUUUCAUUAAGCUUUCUCAUUUAUAUGAUAGCCAUAUGAUGGCACAAUACAGAGGAGCGGGCAUUUGGAUUUAUUGCGAUGAAUGCAAUGUAUUGCAAUAUGCUAUCAUUGACUACACUUAUCAACGUUCAGAAUUUCCAAAACCAUUUAUAACGGUAUUUCGGAAAUGUGUUGCUGGUUUUCUUCAAGAAGUAACAUAAAAAAAGAGACAUCCAACUGAGGAGCUUUCUGUUUAAUUUGACAAGACAAAGAGCCAUCCAACUGCUUUGACCACCAAAGAGGAUCAAUGGAAUUUCCUACCAAAUUCAGUCAUCCACAGCGGGCAGCCUCAUUAAUGAGGUUUCGGCAGAAGAGGAAAGAUAGAUGCUUUGAUAAGAAAGUUCGAUAUAAUGUACGUCAAGAAGUUUCUCUCAGGGUCCUGGAGGAGGUGAGAAGCCAGCAGCAUCACCUACUACUGCUCCACCAGCCGAAGUUGCAAAGCAAACCCAACCAUCAAAGAAAUCCAAGAAGGCUAUGACAGCUUCAAUUUUCAUUUCAUAAUAGUUGGGUUGGCAUCCUCAUUUACUGUUCUAAAGUAGUUUUGACAAGUCAUUUUGUUGGUUUAAGACAUUGUUUAGUUUUCAUUUAUCAGGUGUAUGAAUUUAUAAUAGUCCCUGUUUUAAAUGGUGUUUUGCUUUAUUUAUGAGUUUUGUUGAGGAGACACUAAUGUUAUAUUUUGCUAGCUGCCUCUAUACUUUACAACUAUGUUUACAUCCUUUCUCAAUCCCGCAUAAUCCUGUAUGAAUUUACAUGCUUUCUCAAUCCUGCAUAUUAACGUAUGAAUUUACAUGCUUGUAUUUGAUUCGGCGUAACUGAGAUGCAAAAGAUGUUUAGCAUCCUCUUUUUAAGAUUGGUUUUGGAAGAAUUUCAUGGAACUUACUUUGUCAUUUUCUAAUCAACAUUGAUAGUGGAUUCCACUACUGCUGCAGAAAGAAAUACCUUCAAGGAAAAUGUAGUGACACUGGUUUAUAACCAGAUUGGCAAGUGAGAACAUUUUUCCAGUUGACUGCGGUGCAUUUGGACUGGCUUUCGAUGCCGUUUGCAGCAGGAUGGAAGUGGUUUGGGAGCGUGAAGAUGGAACUGACACGAGAAGUGUUGCAACAGGGAAGAUGCUACCCAUAUAUCCUACAACAAGGUUUGAAAAUUUGUAGUAUGGCCUUUGAUGGAUGUUGUCCUGGUUGUAAAUUUCAUGGAGAUGACAAACACAAACAACGAGAAUCAAUUUCUUUUGCGAAAUUAAGAAUUUUGUUGGGUUUGUUAAUAUCUUAUUACUUGCAAUUAGAAAUAGUUUUCAUUGGUCAUGAUAUAAUGAAUUUUGUUAGGUUUGUUAAUAUCUUAUUACUUGUAAUUAGAAAUAGUUUUCAUGAUGAAGUUCAUCUUUGAAGUGAAGUUGGAAAAGAAUAUACUUUGCAUUUCCUCCUGAUUAUGGUUUCCACAAGUCAUGAGGCUGCAAAUACUUUAAUUCCCCUUAUACAGUGGUGCAAUCUGUUUUUUUCUUCUUCUAGCGAAUGAGUUAUGAGAUUAAUUGUAGGUUUCAGAAGCCACUUAUCUUGAACUUUUUCUGUUUGUACUUGAACUAAUUUCACCAAUUUUAUUAACUGAAAAACAAAGCAGACUACGCUGCACAAUUAAAAUUAAUUUUAAUGUUAAAACCACUUUGAAUUCAAUAGCUAUAUAGUAACAUAUUACCCUAUUAAAAAUAAUUAUACAUAAGACUAAUAAUUUUAUUAUUUUACAUCAUUGCUUUUUUUAAUUAUCUUUGGAAUAUUUUAGUCGUGCUUUUUUUAGUUUUCUUUUUUAAUUUUUCUUUGUUUCAAAAUUAUUAAUUGUAUUUUUUAAUAAAUAAAUUCUCAUUAAAAUUCAGUAAAAUUAACUCUCUCUUUUAAUAACUUCGUUCUUCUAAUAAUUGUAACACC